rnacentral:rRNA from 1 species
GAUGAACGCUGGCGGCGUGCUUAACACAUGCAGGUCGAACGAUGAUGCCCAGCUUGCUGGGUGGAUUAGUGGCGAACGGGUGAGUAACACGUGAGUAACCUGCCCUUGACUCUGGGAUAAGCCUGGUAAACUGGGUCUAAUACCGGAUACGACCAUCUGGCGCAUGUCAUGGUGGUGGAAAGCUUUUGUGGUUUUGGAUGGACGCGCGGCCUAUCAGCUUGUUGGUGGGGUAAUGGCCUACCAAGGCGACGACGGGUAGCCGGCCUGAGAGGGUGACCGGCCACACUGGGACUGAGACACGGCCCAGACUCCUACGGGAGGCAGCAGUGGGGAAUAUUGCACAAUGGGCGCAAGCCUGAUGCAGCGACGCCGCGUGAGGGAUGACGGCCUUCGGGUUGUAAACCUCUUUCAGUAGGGAAGAAGCGAAAGUGACGGUACCUGCAGAAGAAGCGCCGGCUAACUACGUG